AUUGAACGCUGGCGGCAGGCUUUACACAUGCAAGUCGGACGAGUGGCGAACGGGUGAGUAACGCAUCGGAAAGUACCGAGUGAUGGGGGAUAACUGCUCGAAAGGAUAGCUAAUACCGCAUAUUAUCCGAGCGGCCGAUGUCUGAUUAGCUGGUUGGUGGGGUAAAGGCUCACCAAGGCGACGAUCAGUAGCGGGUCUGAGAGGAUGAUCCGCCACACUGGGACUGAGACACGGCCCAGACUCCUACGGGAGGCAGCAGUGGGGAAUUUUGGACAAUGGGUGCAAGCCUGAUCCAGCCAUGCCGCGUGUCUGAAGAAGGCCUUCGGGUUGUAAAGGACUUUUGUCAGGGAGGCGGUACCUGAAGAAGAAGCACCGGCUAACUACGUGCCAGCAGCCGCGGUAAUUC
rnacentral:rRNA from 1 species